rnacentral:lncRNA from 1 species
UAUUGUUCAACUUUUGAUGUGCUUAUUUUCUGUUGAUGAGCUGAGAUUUUAGAAGGAACUGAAAGACAAUGUGGACAAUGGUUGGUUUCGUGUUGCAGGUUUGCCCAUCAAGAGACCAGGAAAAUGCAGCAUGAAAAUGUUCUACUGUAAAUAUGGCUCCGUCUACGACGAAGUCCUAGUUUAUGCAAUUGGAAGUGUGUAGAGUGUGUCUUGUUGAGAAGCACUCACUGACCUGGUGCUAUAGGAACAGCGCUUGCACUGUCCCACAGGUUGGAGCGAAGAGGGAGGAAGCAAACUGCAUGGGUGCUGCCUCCGAGUGGUGCUUGAGCAGGAGCAGCAGGCAGCGGUGCCAGCGUACGACUCUUUUAAAAUAGGCUUUCGUCCCGCUUUAUAGACAAAGCAAUCAUCAUGUCCAUACAAAAAGGUAUCAAAUCAUCAAGAAAAAAUAGUUGGCAUCAGCACGAGCACGCCCAAAGGAAGCUUAAGAGAAGGUGCGUCUGUGCCUGGCUGCGUGGGCGGUCGGGUUGGGGGAGAAGCUGGAAAUGUGCGAUGCUGAACAGGUGCCCGGGCCUGCAAGUUUAGUGCCUGUACGGCUGUACCCCAGGCAAGAUUAAAAUUUCACAUAGUUUACUAGUACUGAAUUCUUCUGACGCCUCCGGUUGUGGCCUUCGUUGCCCGGGGCGUACGCGUAGCUUCAUGCAAUCAGUGUAUGCAUCAAGAUAAAAUGGAUCGAAGUGUUUAUAGUAGAGGUAGUUUUUGGUUGUUCCGAGUAAUUAUUUAGAAAAAUAAUGCUCUUAUAUUUCUUUACAGAGGGAGUAUGUCGUUAUAUUUGUAUCCACCCAUUCCUCAUCUACGGCGGCGUGUCGAGAACUCAGAUAAGUUGGACGGACAUUUUAGGACCGGAGGAGAUGACCCAAGCUCUGAGCUGGUGUCCGCCGACGUCAUUUCUGAGAGCCUGUGCUUGAUCAAGGUGUGGCAAUAUCAGCUGCGUGGCAGCUCUGGCUGGUAUGAUUCCGACACUUGCAAGUAUAUCCGAUGAUAUUCACCUAAGAGGCUAAGAGUGCAAUUUUCCUUUUUCUUGGCUUCCAAAGAAAAGAGAUAUUCUUAUUCUGGUUCGAUGAACUCUGGAAAAUAAAGUUUCAGUGAUCAAUCUGAUGCACGAUUGAGAGAAAAAGUAAUAUAGUUUUCAGUUCAACAGAGAUGAUCAAGACAGAGCAUCUGCAGACUGCAAUACAGCUAGAAGUUCAAAAUGUUAUGAUCAAGACAGAGCAUCUGCUCAUCGGAAAAAAAAAAGACAGAGCAUCUGCAGACAAAAUCUUGAAGAAUCACUUCAUGGAACUGUUAGAGGGAAUCCCAGGUUAUGACGUUACUAUGGAUCAUGCUUUCAGAUUAAAGUCUUUUUCUUGCUCAAUAUUUUUCCUUAAUUUCAGAUGUGGUUAAAUUCCAGAUGUUUCCUUCUCAGACUAAUAAGGAAGAGUUCAGUACGAGAAUUCUGUGUGCUUUUGCUAGACAAUGACAAGUGCGCUACAAAUUUCAUUGAUGUUCUGAGAGACACUCGAUGGAUACAUGGCAAAUGUUUAGUAGGCGAGCCGGCAAAGCAUGUGUAGGAAAUAGCGAGAAGCGUAGUACCCUGUUGAGGACGACGGAUGCGUGUUUAUAUAGCCAGGAUAUGCAUACAAGUUGGUUAGGAUUACAAGAGAUAAGAAGAUAACAGGGAGUCGGUUUACAUGAG